rnacentral:rRNA from 1 species
UACGGAGGGUGCGAGCGUUGUCCGGAAUCACUGGGCGUAAAGGGCGCGUAGGCGGCGCGGGUAGUCAUCGGUGAAAGUUCAGGGCUCAACUCUGAAUCGGCCGGUGAUACUCCCGUGCUCGAGCACUGUAGAGGCAGGUGGAAUUCCGGGUGUAGCGGUGGAAUGCGUAGAGAUCCGGAAGAACACCGGUGGCGAAGGCGGCCUGCUGGGCAGUAGCUGACGCUGAGCCGCGAAAGCUAGGGGAGCGAACGGG